GAGGAUUACAGAGUUCGUCACGCAACGUCAAAGGGAACCCGUUGAUUGUCCUGUGAGGAGCACUUGGUGACUUUGGGGAGGAAGAACUCCCUUUUAACAAGAAGAGGGGCAGCCAUCUGCUUUAACUGGUCGGGGAGUUAAUAAAGACUGGGAUAACCAAGGUGCAGCAAUGAUUAACAGGGAGCAGCUUCAGGCGUCUGUGCAGAGGACAGCAUUACAUGAGCCUGGAGGUUGGGACACUUCAGAACAAUUACGAGGUCCUUAAAACAGCACAGAAAGUAAUAAAUGCUGAAAUAAAUGUGGCAGGAUUAUUACAGGCAAUCAAAAAGAACAACAGCCAAUCACAAAGCCGGGUUCUCGGGUCUUUCUCCUGGGGCACCUAAACUGAAAAGUCUGUCACAAAUGGGCUGGAUGUUGAUUUCAUCAGGAUUUAAUUUUAAGUUGAAGUUGAAGUGGUCACUCCAACUAUAAUAACAUAUUACUGGCUGAUUUAUUGUUUCUCAGGACCAGAACAUGAAGAGGCAAAAGCCAUCAGAGAAGCUGAACCAAAUCAAAGAUGUGAUUUUGUUCUAAUGAAGAGCAAUCUGUACCGAGACACA